rnacentral:rRNA from 1 species
AGGGUUUGAUUAUGGCUCAGGACGAACGCUGGCGGCAUGCCUAACACAUGCAAGUCGAACGAGAAAGUUCCUUCGGGAGCAAUUAAAGUGGCGCACGGGUGAGUAACGCGUAGACAAUCUGCCCUUCAGUCUGGGACAACUUUUCGAAAGGAGAGCUAAUACCGGAUAACAAUGCAUGACACAAGUUGUAUAUUUGAAAGCUUUAUGUGCUGAAGGAGGGGUCUGCGUCCCAUUAGCUAGUUGGUAAGGUAAAGGCUUACCAAGGCAACGAUGGGUAGCGGGUUUGAGAGGACGAUCCGCCACACUGGAACUGAGACACGGUCCAGACUCCUACGGGAGGCAGCAGUGGGGAAUAUUGCACAAUGGAGGAAACUCUGAUGCAGCAAUGUCGCGUGAGUGAAGAAGGCCCUUGGGUCGUAAAGCUCUUUUAUGGGGGAAGAUGAUGACGGUACCCCAAGAAUAAGCACCGGCUAACUAUGUGCCAGCCGCCGCGGUAAUAC